CCGACCUUAGCUCAGUUGGUAGAGCGGAGGACUGUAGUAAUGAUGCUGAAAUCCUUAGGUCGCUGGUUCGAAUCCGGCAGGUCGGA
rnacentral:tRNA from 1 species